UCGUACGAACCGUAUGACUUGGGAUGUCGUCCCUGGCGGUGCUCGCCCGCCUCUUCGACGGGAAGCCUGCCAACGGCCGCGCCUGCCCUCAUCGUCGAGUGCCUCGCUGCCCUCGUCCACGUCCUCCCCGACGCCUUCGCUGGCGCGGCUUCCCCUUCUCCGGCGUCCUCACCGCCCUUUGUGUCGGCGUAACUAUCGGUGACCAUGGUGACGUCGAAGAACCAGUGCGCAAUCACGCGACCUGUCGUCGCCUUUGCCUUCCACCAGAUCGCUCAGAUGAGUCUAUAUUCAACGUGUUUGCUUUAAAUAGGCGCAAACCUCACAGUGCUUCUGCUGCAGAUGCCCUCAAAGUGUUUGCUUUAAUGUCCGAUCAUCUCACUUCCAUAGAAGUACUUCACUUAGUAUCAACGAUUACUACAACAUCACAUACGUUAUUGCCUCGCCAGCUCACCGUAGUCAUUCCAAUCACGCCAUAAGAUACGAGUAUACCACCAUCAUGCGAAAAGGGAUCCAACGCCACUUGACAUCCGUCCCCGAUAUGGACCUCAUCAAGAUUCGUGCGCAACCACUAUUCCUUUAACGCGACCUGCCAGUUCUUGACUACACUCUUGCCGACCUCCUCGCGCUCAUCCAUAUGACCCCUUCUCUCAAGAAGAGCGGACGCCUCUCGCUCGACCCUCCUGAUUUCAUUUCUCGAAGCCAAAGACAGGAGCCAUUCCCGGAAGACAGCGUGGACACCCAGGUCCUCCAUCUCGCCGUAGCGGAGCUCGACGGCGACUCCUUCGUCGCUGGCUUUGCCUACUACGUUCGCUGCAAAACCCUAAUCCAGCUUCUAGACUUCGCCCAGCGCGAGGGUAUCCGUACGGGACGCGGAGGAGGAGGAUGGUGAACGGGCCAUUCUUGUUGGGCGUCGGAGGAAGACCCAUGGGGCUUGCCGAUUCCUGCGAGGUUGCCUCCGCUGCAAACGGUUCUUGACGACUUGGCGACCUGUCAAUGGAUCGAGGAGUUCUUUGGUAAAGAAAACGUUAAUACAACUUGUGAUGUACAGGACGUGCUUGGGGAACAAUGACUCAACAAGUAUUCGAUCGGUGGCUUUGGGGAUGGCACCGAAGAGUUCCAUCUCACAAACUCGUAAUGCUGAUUGGGGUCAGUUAACACCUUAAAGAAAGGGUACUUGUUCUUUCCAUCUAACAAACUCAUAAUGUUGAGUGGGAGCAGUUAAUACCUUAAAGAAACUGUACUAAAACACCAAAAGGCCAUGAAUCAUGUUCCUUUCAUCUUAAUUUUGUUCUAUUAAUUCUUCCAACAGUUUUAGAUAAUUACCACUUCGAUUCAGUUUCUGAACACACUUAAUAGUUGGUUGCAAAUGUGAUAGACUACACAAUAAUUUUGAAUUUGUAGAUGAUGACUUAAACAUGCUUUAUGUUCUAGUACAAAUUUUAUAUGGUCUUUAUGCUACUAGUCUCUGUAUCUCCUUUUCUUCAUAGGGUAGCUCUUGGUAAUUUGUCUGCAAAUGAACUCAUUUAUGAUAAAUGACCUUUCACCUAUCUUGGUCCAAUAUCGAUUAGGUUCAUUAUUCUUUUCACAAAGAGUAACUUGGUUAUAUAAAAUGUCUUGUGACUUAUAACUCAUGCAUUGAUAAUCACUUCAACUCUACGCUAAUAACAAAAUUGCUUGAUAUCUGACCAAAAGGGUGCUCUGCUUUUGAGCCUUGAAGGCUGUAAGUCCUUCUUUUAGGUCUUGAUUAAUUAAAGGGAGAAUUUAUCGGUAGCACAAAGUAUUGUAUAUAGUGUAAUCUAAGUUCUGAAAAUGAGAUUGUGGUUCCUAUUGCAACAAAAGGUUGCUUUAAGUAGUAAGCUUCUAGCGUAAUAUCUGUGGAGUUUUGUGUCGGCAACACGUGGACAAUAUUACUGAAGAGCUUUCCGUUAGCAACUUCUAUAUGGACGAUGGGCUUGGAUGUUUGGAGUUAGAUGAUACUUGAGUUACUUUCACUUUGUUGAUUUAUUUAGAUUGAACUUUGAAGAUAAUUUUGGGCUACCCAUGUUAUGGCUUUUCUUUCUCCCAUUUUGUUGGGGUGAAAGCAUUCGAGUGUACAUAUCAACAAUUUGUUCUUUCGGUGCUCGGAAUGAACCUGAUAGUUAUAUCUUUUUGUAGCAUAUUAUUUGUCAGCCAUUACUUUUUUAAAUAAGAUAUUUUUGUCCUUAUCAGGUGUUUAUUUUACCCUUCUUGGUCUAUUUUCAUCAAGAAUUAGUGACAGUUAGUAAUAGUUUGAUACAUAGGAUUUUGUGAUAGAUAAUUUCAACAUGCUUGGAAUUUGAUGAUCAGGUUUCCUACUUACUAAUCCCUCUCUCCUAAGCGGUAGUUUACAAAUAGAAGGAUCUAUUUUUUCAUAAAGCUGAUGGUGGAUUAGAGCUCUGAGGCUCACUUUUGUCCAAUUCUCAAGCCAAAUCAUUCUGACUGACUGGAUGGGAUGCUUAGACGAUAUGAACAAGCUUUCAAAUAUGGGUUGAAAUUUGCUUAAAGAAGACAUGUACAUGAAUAUCUGAAUCAUGGGUGGUGGUGUUUUACAGUUUUUUAAGCUUGUUGUGGUACCCCAAAAACAAAACAAAAAAAAAUCAUAUUUGUUGAGAUUGUUGGUAAUGGUAAUGAUUUGAAAGAGAUUAUAUCU